GACGAACGCUGGCGGCGUGCUUAACACAUGCAAGUCGAACGGAAAGGCCCUGCUUUUGUGGGGUGCUCGAGUGGCGAACGGGUGGGUAACACGAGAGUAACCUGCCCUUGACUUUGGGAUAACUUCAGGAAACUGGGGCUAAUACCGGACAGGAGCUCCUGCUGCAUUGUGGGGGUUGGAAAGUUUCGGCGGUUGGGGAUGGACUCGCGGCUUAUGAGCUUGUUGGUAGGGUAGUGGCUUACCAAGGCUUUGACGGGUAGCCGGCCUGAGAGGGGGACCGGCCACAUUGGGACUGAGAUACGGCCCAGACUCCGACGGGAGGCAGCCGUUGGGAAUAUUGCACAAUGGGCGGAAGCCUGAUGCAGCAACGCCGCGUGCGGGAUGACGGCCUUCGGGUUGUAAACCGCUUUCGCCUGUGACGAAGCGUGAGUGACGGUAAUGGGUAAAGAAGCACCGGCUAACUACGUG
rnacentral:rRNA from 1 species